rnacentral:snoRNA from 1 species
GGCCUCCUAGUGCUGUGUUCUUAUACUGACUUUAUAAAGAGGAGGGAAAGUAAACCUACUCUAUAUACACUUCAAUCUAGGCCCUGUGCCUGGUCUGUAUUGUGAAUGGGAAGACAUGG